AGCGAACGCUGGCGGCAGGCCUAACACAUGCAAGUCGAACGAACUCUUCGGAGUUAGUGGCGGACGGGUGAGUAACCCGUGGGAACGUGCCUUUUGGUUCGGAAUAACUCAGGGAAACUUGUGCUAAUACCGAAUGUGCCCUUCGGGGGAAAGAUUUAUCGCCAUUAGAGCGGCCCGCGUCUGAUUAGCUAGUUGGUGAGGUAACGGCGCACCAAGGCGACGAUCAGUAGCUGGUCUGAGAGGAAGACCAGCCACACUGGGACUGAGGCACGGCCCAGACUCCUACGGGAGGCAGCAGUGGGUAAUCUUGCGCAAUGGGCGAAAGCCUGACGGAGCCCUGCCGCGUGAAUGAUGAAGGUCUUAGGAUUGUAAAAUUCUUUCACCGGGGACGAUAAUGACGGUACCCGGAGAAGAAGCCCCGGCUAACUUCGUG
rnacentral:rRNA from 1 species